rnacentral:rRNA from 1 species
ACGAUCAGUAACUGGCGUGAGAGCGCGACCAGUCACACGCACUGAGACACGGGCCCGACUCCUACGGGAGGCAGCAGUAAGGAAUAUUGGUCAAUGCGGAAGUCUGAACCAGCCAUGCCGCGUGGAGGAUGAAGGCCCUCUGGGUUGUAAACUUUUUAUUUGGGACGAAACACUUCUUUUCUAAGGAGCUUGACGGUACCAGAUGAAUAAGCCGGCUAACUCCGUGCCAGCAGCCGCGGUAAUACGGAGGGUGCAAGCGUUAUCCGGAUUCUGGGUUUAAAGGGUGCGUAGGCGGACAUGUAAGUCCGUGGUGAAAUCUCCGAGCUUAUCGGAAACUGCCAUGGAUACUAUAUGUCUUGAAUGUUGUGGAGGCUAGCGGAAUAUGUUGUAGCGGUGAAAUGCAUAGAUAUGACAUAGAACACCAAUUGCGAAGGCAGCUGGCUACAAAUAUUGACGCUGAGGCACGAAAGCGUGGGGAUCAAACAGGAUUAGAUACCCUGGUUCCACGCCCUAAACGAUGAUUACUCGACAUACGCGAUACACAGUGUGUGUCUGAACGA